AGUGCCAUUCUUUUGACGUAUGAAAGUGAGAUUUCUUUGAAUGACGAAUAACAAAUAAAAGAAGUUGACUAAGUCAAGAUCUGACUCGGUCUCGACUCUUUCUAAGUAAAGCAGGAAGCUAAGAAAACUCCAGCAAUUUAUCCAAAAAACAAAAAAAAGGAAGACGAAGAAAAAAUGAGUUCUGGAAAUUUGUCUACGGACACAUUCAUGGAAGAUGGGGAGUCCUUUGUUUCUAAUACAGAUGCAGUCAUCAAUGGAAUUUCUGAUAUUUCAGAUUUGACCUUAAGCUUGAUCUCAGAUCCCAAUAUUCCUAAUUCGUCUGAUUCAUCGACGAGUAUAGACGACUACCUGCAGCAGAUUUCGACUGCUGCAUACGGUUGUGAUGAUAUGAUUGUGUCAUCAGGUGCAACUUUCAGGAAAUUUAAUAGUAGUCCUGAUUUCAGGGUAUUUUCAAGGAAUAAUAUUAACGCUAUUUGCAAUAAUUACAGUGAUAAAGUGGCCGAGGAAGGUUCUGCAAUCAUCAGUGGAAUUUCUGAUAUUUCAGAUUUGACCUUAAGCUUGAUCUCAGAUCCCAAUAUUCCUAAUUCGUCUGAUUCAUCGACGAGUAUAGACGACCACCUGCAGCAGAUUUUGACUGCUGCAUGCGGUUGUGAUGAUAUGAUUGUGUCAUCAGGUGCAACUUUCAGGA
rnacentral:lncRNA from 1 species